rnacentral:rRNA from 1 species
GACGAACGCUGGCGGCGCGCCUAACACAUGCAAGUCGAGCGAUGAAGCUUCCUUCGGGAAGCGGAUUAGCGGCGGACGGGUGAGUAACACGUGAGCAACCUGCCCCAAAGAGGGGGAUAGCCUCCCGAAAGGGAGAUUAAUACCGCAUAAUAUCAGAAUUUCGCAUGAUUUUCUGAUUAAAGGAGUAAUCCACUUUGAGAUGGGCUCGCGGCGCAUUAGCUAGUUGGUGAGGUAACGGCUCACCAAGGCGACGAUGCGUAGCCGACCUGAGAGGGUGAUCGGCCACAUUGGGACUGAGACACGGCCCAGACUCCGUACGGGAGGCAGCAGGUGGGGAAUAUUGCGCAAUGGACGAAAGUCUGACGCAGCAACGCCGCGUGGGUGAUGAAGGUCUUCGGAUUGUAAAGCCCUGUCUUCGAGGACGAUAAUGACGGUACUCGAGGAGGAAGCCACGGCUAACUACGUG